rnacentral:lncRNA from 1 species
GGGGACACCCAAACUCAUAGGCCGACCUUGGGACUCGAGCCGGCAUGGGUUUGGUCAGAAAUCUCGGUGAGUCAUGAGAAUCACAUGAUAAGUUUGAUCUAUUGGAGAGAUCUUACUCGGCAUACUCAUUGAGUAUCGUCUAAUAAAUGUCGUGCGGGCCCGAUGUGGUAUGUACGGUGGACGGGCAUGAGAAGUAAGUGGAGAUCUACGGAUUGGAAAUACUGACCCGAUUGACGGAGAGUCAUUGCGAGAAGGUAUACGAAUGACCCUGGCAAAGCAUGUGGAACUUAGCUCCUGAGAGCUACCAUAUCAU